CUUACCUGAAUUAGUGCAUAUAAAACAUCUUAAAAAUGCCUGGCAGGUAGUAAAUACUAAAUAAAUGUUACAAUAUUAGUGUAAAUUUAGUAAAUCAAAUUCAGGUAUCUGUGCCUCAUAAAAAAAAACCUAUACCCCCGAGCCCUGCCUGGAGGCCGCGGCCAGCCCGGGGCUUCUCCGGAAGCACCCAUUGCGGCCGCGAAGAGUUGGGCUCUGUCAGCCGCGGGACCCUCGGGGGCCAGGGCGAGGCCCGGGCCUGCGGCCGCAGGGAGAGUAACAGAGCGGGUCCCGCGCGGCGCGCGCCCCUGAGCAGUGGGACGAGCGCCCGGACCCGCUCGCACACGC
ensembl:misc_RNA Telomerase-vert Vertebrate telomerase RNA